GACGAACGCUGGCGGCGUGCUUAACACAUGCAAGUCGAACGGAAAGGCCCUGCUUUUGUGGGGUGCUCGAGUGGCGAACGGGCGAGUAACACGUGAGUAACCUGCCCUUGACUUUGGGAUAACUUCAGGAAACUGGGGCUAAUACCGGAUAGGAGCUCCUGCUGCAUGGUGGGGGUUGGAAAGUUUCGGCGGUUGGGGAUGGACUCGCGGCUUAUCAGCUUGUUGGUGGGGUAGUGGCUUACCAAGGCUUUGGCGGGUAGCCGGCCUGAGAGGGUGACCGGCCACAUUGGGACUGAGAUACGGCCCAGACUCCUACGGGAGGCAGCAGUGGGGAAUAUUGCACAAUGGGCGGAAGCCUGAUGCAGCAACGCCGCGUGCGGGAUGACGGCCUUCGGGUUGUAAACCGCUUUCGCCUGUGACGAAGCGUGAGUGACGGUAAUGGGUAAAGAAGCACCGGCUAACUACGUG
rnacentral:rRNA from 1 species